rnacentral:rRNA from 1 species
GAUGAACGCUAGCGGCAGGCUUAAUACAUGCAAGUCGAGGGGCAGCAGUCCCGCAGCAAUGCGGGAGCUGGCGACCGGCAAACGGGUGCGGAACACGUACAGAACCUUCCUUCGAGCGGGGAAUAGCCCAGAGAAAUUUGGAUUAAUACCCCAUAGCAUUACGAAGUGGCAUCACUUUGUAAUUAAAGAUUUAUCACUCGAAGAUGGCUGUGCGGCUGANAGGGUAGUUGGCGGAGUAACGGCCCCACCAAGCCUUCGAUCAGUAACUGGUGUGAGAGCACGACCAGUCAC